CUUUUUUUUUUUUUUUUUUUUUUUUUUUGCUUUUAAGGGCCGCACUUGCAGCAUAUGGAGGUUCCCAGGGGUCUAAUCAGAGCUACAGCCACCGGCCUACGCCAGAGCCACAGCAACGCGGGAUCCGAGCCACGUCUGCAACCUACACCACAGCUCGUGGCAACGCCAGAUCCUUAACCCACUGAGCAAGGCCAGGGAUCAAACCUGCAACCUCAAGGUUCCUAGUCGGAUUUGUUUCCACUGCGCCACAAUGGGAACUCCACAAAGAUGAUUUUCAUUUUGUAUAUAUGGCUAGGAGGAGCAGAAAGGAUAAAGAAGAUUAGGAAGAAGGGAAAAGGAGGAGGAAGAGAUAGGUGGAAGGAAGAGGAGCAGAGAGGAGGGAAGAAGAUGAGGAAGGAGGAGGAGAGAGGAGGAGAAAGGAGGAGCAGAAAAAUUUUAUUAAUCAUUAGGGAGCAGUAUAUUAUAUCCUAUCCAUUCCAUGGAAUUUUCACAGUUUUAAAAUACAGCUAUGAUGACUGUCAAUUUGCCAAAAGGUUUAAAACAUAAUAUGCAGCAUAAAAAGCAGACCAGUUACAUGCAUACAAUGCUUAUAACUAUGUAAAAAGAUAUAUGCUUGUGAGCAUUACUUGGAGGAUAACAUGCAAAAAAAAUUGUUUUAGAUCAUGGGAUUAAGAGUGGAAAGUUAUUCUUUUUUUCCUUUUCCAAAAUGCUUUACUGCUGUUAUAUUGUUUUUGCUAUAAAAUAAAGUGAGGAAAUGGAUCAUUAUAAUUAAUAAACAUGGCUGUGAACCGAAGAUUUAUCUGAGAAUGAUGUUUCAGCUAAAAAAAUUAAUCCUUCAUCAUUCGUUAUUUUAAGCAUGGAUCUUCCCACCCCCGUAUACGAUUUAGUGGCAAGGUAAGGGAGCAUAAGGAAAAGAAAAACAGCCAUAAAAUAUGGGCAGACUCAACUGAGGAAAAGAAGCUGCCAAAAGAGGCUUAAGUGUGCAUCUUAAGAGUACCAGACUGUGAAGCUGGGAAAACAGCAUCCGCUUCUAAGUCUCCCAUGAAAAUGCAAUCAGAAUUGGAAGAUAAGGUGUGUGGAAUAUAAACUAAAAUACAUAAGCAUCUUCCUUAAAGUGGUAGACUUUUCUUUUUGUGUGCCAUUUUUCAAUGAAUGGAUCCCCCAAAUGAUUAAAACCUAAAAUUAGCAUUGUCUAUUUUUCAGCUAACUCCUGCACAGAUUAGGAAUGCAGCAUAGGCUGGAAUUUUGCACCUAGGGCAGAAGGUCUAUUCUUGCCCAAAUACUAUGCAUAGGCUACACUUGAAAAAGGCUUUAUUUAAUGGCCCUUUCUUUUCUGGCUAUUACUAUUCUUAGCAUAAUUCCUCUGGGUUCACUGGGGAUAAGCGCCUCUAGAAGGAAAAAAAAAAAAAAAAAAAAAGGCUGAGACUAGAGGCAAGUGAUUUUUCACCUGGAAUACACUACAAGGAUAGAGAGAGUAGGGUAAUUAUCUUUAGCAAUGAAAUUCUCUUUUGAUAAAGGUGUGGGGGAGGGGCAAUGUGAAGGAAUAAAUAGGUCAGUUCAUUUAUUUCAGCUUCCCUAAGUCAGCAGCCCUUUGACUGUUCUAACACAGGAAUGGGAGCCCUGACAACUCAUGGGUCAGCAGAGCAUAUGUUGUUCAAAUAAAAUCUAUCAAUGCAUUGAGAUAUGGCUAGUCUUCAAAAACCUGUCAUUCCUACAAAAGUGUAACCAGCUCAGCUCCCACCCCUUGGCUGCACUACAUCUCAUUUUAUAUAUAUNAUGCGGGAUUUGAGCCAUGGCUUUGACCCACACCACAGCUCACGGCAACGCUGGAUCCUUAACCCACUGAGCAAGGCCAGGGAUCAAACCUGUGCCCUCAUGGAUACUAGUCAGAUUCGUCUCCACUGAGCCACAGUGGGAACUCCUGCACUACAUCUCAGUAUCUGCAUUUCACUGACCACUUUUCUUCAGAGCUGGUAUUUGGAACCUGUAAUCCUUUAUAAAAUUGCUCAUCUCCUUGAGCCACAAAUAUUUUUCAAGCACCAGCUGAAAUUAGGGACUAGAGACUAUUAAAAUUGCAAGCUUCCUACUGAGCUACAGCCACUGGUCUAGACUGUAACAGUGUCAGAAUGGGGUCAGGGAGGCCUUUGCACCUGUUCCCUCAUUGCCUGUUGCAUCCAGAUCCCUAAUAUACACACUCUCUUCUCCUCCCUUCCUCUAUCUCCAUUCCCCAACACCAAACACACUCAAACAUACUCUCCUGUGAUCUUACGCUUCUGAGAAAAGCCAUUCCUUCCUUCAAAAUUAUUUGGGAACCCCUAAGACAGAAUAAAAACUACUACAGAGAAACUAUAGACAGAUACUUCCAUGGAUCAAGAGAAGAUAAUAUAUUCAUUGGUAGAUUCAAUGAAAUCCUAAAGAUUAUUGCCAACUGAAAUUCCAAGCAAUUUGGAAUGGGGCCCUUUGAAUAUGAAUUUAUUUAACAGUGAAUUGUGAAGUUGGCAGAAGGGUGAGAGGGCAGGAGCUGAGUUAUAUUAAAUGCACACCUACACCCUCUCAGACAAUCAAACAGGCUGAAGGAGAAUUAAGAUAGUCAUAGAAAAUACAAGAAUAAAAAGUAAGGAACAACAAGUAUUGAAAUGACAACUUAUUCAAGUCAUAGGUAGGAAGUUAUGUGCUCAGAUAACAAACCAAAAAGAGAAAGUAAAGAGAUCUAUUAGAAAGUUAGCCUUCUAUCUCAUAUUUCAACGAAGAAAAAAAAAAGGCCUCUGUAUAGGAGUUCUAUACUCAACGACCCAUGAAUUAAUAUUUUUCACUCUGAGGUGGUUACAGAGAUUCUUUGUUUUGCAGAGUAUUAUGGCACAGUCAAAUGCACAUGGUCUUAGAAUGAAAUCCAUGUUCUUAUUAAUAAAGUGGUUUUCAACCAUGCUGCAUAUUAGAAAUCACCCAGGAGGUUUUCCAACUCUGCCUUCCUGGGCCCCACCCCCAGGUGUUCCAAUUCAUCAGGAGGGGAGUGAAGAGCUAGGUACUUUUUUAUACCCCCUGCGUGAUCCUAACGAACAAGAUGUUAAGAGCAGAUUUCUCAAAGCGUGCUCCCUGUCCCAACAACAUCAGCAUCACCUAGGAACUUCUUAGAAAUGCAAAUUCUGUAGCCCCACUCCAGACUCAAUGAUUCAGAAAAUCUGAGGGUGGAAGCCAGUAAACUUUUACCAAGUCCUCCCAGGGGUUCUCAUGCAUGCUAAAGUUGGAGAAUGGCUGCCACAGAAAAAUGGUUCUCAAACUUUGGUUUGUAUAAGGAUAACUUGGAGAGAUAAAAUGCAAAUCUGAUUCAGUAAUUUCGAGGUGAGGCCUGAGAUUCAGCAUUCCCAACAUGUUAUCAGUUAUUAAAAUUAUGAGUAGCAAGGUCAUAUAAAUAGACUGUACCACUUUGAUGAAAAAUGGGCAGCAAACUUCAUAUAAACGCAGAUUUCCUGGUCCAAAAAUUCUGGAGUUAGCAUAUGGGAAGUAAGACCCAGAAUUUUAACAAUGCGCAUUUUAACAAGAAGCUGAGGUAAUAUUCUCAGUCUCCUGCCAUCAAUUAUCACUUUCUUUGAUUAAAUGUAUUAAGUACAAUCCUCACUGGUUGCCCAUCC
rnacentral:lncRNA from 1 species